rnacentral:lncRNA from 1 species
CAUGCGAUAACACCGUGCACUUGCUCGACCGGGUAAAAAGAUGCACCCAAACAAUCCACUGAGAGUUUUUCCUAUACUGUAAAACCCUCAAACCGAUCAUCUCAACCUUGACAUUCCCCUCAAACCGAUCAUCUCAACCUUGACAUUCAUAGGGACUUUUAGCCCUAAAAAUAGUUCUUCUGACACAUUAUCUGGACUGUCCAUUUUCGAGAUAUUUAAGUGUUAAUAGAUUUUCUUGAUCCUUACAAUUUCUGAAACUUUAAAUCUCACAAUUAGGGGUAGCAAUAAAUUUUCAUAUCAUCACAAGAAUUUACAACGCCGAAAUUAUAUUUUCAACACAGUUUUGAAGUGCACCUUACUUUUAGAAUAUGAGGUUUACAUUUUAUACAAACCUCACCGUGUAAG